rnacentral:rRNA from 1 species
AGUGAACGCUGGCGGUAGGCCUAACACAUGCAAGUCGAACGGCAGCACAGUAAGAGCUUGCUCUUACGGGUGGCGAGUGGCGGACGGGUGAGGAAUACAUCGGAAUCUACUUUUUCGUGGGGGAUAACGUAGGGAAACUUACGCUAAUACCGCAUACGACCUACGGGUGAAAGCAGGGGAUCUUCGGACCUUGCGCGAUUGAAUGAGCCGAUGUCGGAUUAGCUAGUUGGCGGGGUAAAGGCCCACCAAGGCGACGAUCCGUACCUGGUCUGAGAGGAUGAUCAGCCACACUGGAACUGAGACACGGUCCAGACUCCUACGGGAGGCAGCAGUGGGGAAUAUUGGACAAUGGGCGCAAGCCUGAUCCAGCCAUACCGCGUGGGUGAAGAAGGCCUUCGGGUUGUAAAGCCCUUUUGUUGGGAAAGAAAAGCAGCAGGUUAAUACCCCGCUGUUCUGACGGUACCCAAAGAAUAAGCACCGGCUAACUUCGUG